UACGUAGGGGGCAAGCGUUGUCCGGAAUCAUUGGGCGUAAAGAGCGUGUAGGCGGCCAGAUAAGUCCGCUGUGAAAUCUCGAGGCUCAACUUCGAGCUGUCGGUGGAAACUGUCUGGCUAGAGUCCGGAAGAGGAGAAUGGAAUUCCUGGUGUAGCGGUGAAAUGCGCAGAUAUCAGGAAGAACACCGGUGGCGAAGGCGGCUCUCUGGACGGUGACUGACGCUGAGACGCGAAAGCGUGGGGAGCAAACAGG
rnacentral:rRNA from 1 species